rnacentral:rRNA from 1 species
AUGCAAGUCGAGCGGUAACAUUUCUAGCUUGCUAGAAGAUGACGAGCGGCGGACGGGUGAGUAAUACUUAGGAAUCUACCUAGUAGUGGGGGAUAGCACGGGGAAACUCGUAUUAAUACCGCAUACGACCUACGGGAGAAAGGGGGCAGUUUACUGCUCUCGCUAUUAGAUGAGCCUAAGUCGGAUUAGCUAGAUGGUGGGGUAAAGGCCUACCAUGGCAACGAUCUGUAGCUGGUCUGAGAGGAUGAUCAGCCACACCGGGACUGAGACACGGCCCGGACUCCUACGGGAGGCAGCAGUGGGGAAUAUUGGACAAUGGGGGAAACCCUGAUCCAGCCAUGCCGCGUGUGUGAAGAAGGCCUUUUGGUUGUAAAGCACUUUAAGCAGUGAAGAAGACUCCAUGGUUAAUACCCAUGGACGAUGACAUUAGCUGCAGAAUAAGCACCGGCUAACUCUGUGCCAGCAGCCGCGGUAAUACAGAGGGUGCAAGCGUUAAUCGGAAUUACUGGGCGUAAAGGGAGCGUAGGUGGCUCGAUAAGUCAGAUGUGAAAUCCCCGGGCUCAACCUGGGAACUGCAUCUGAUACUGUUGAGCUAGAGUAUGUGAGAGGAAGGUAGAAUUCCAGGUGUAGCGGUGAAAUGCGUAGAGAUCUGGAGGAAUACCGAUGGCGAAGGCAGCCUUCUGGCAUAAUACUGACACUGAGGCUCGAAAGCGUGGGUAGCAAACAGGAUUAGAUA